CACGCCGUAAACGAUGAUUACUAGGUGUGGGGGGACUGACCCCUUCCGUGCCGGAGUUAACACAAUAAGUAAUCCACCUGGGGAGUACGGUCGCAAGACUAAAACUCAAAGAAAUUGACGGGGGCCCGCACAAGCAGUGGAGUAUGUGGUUUAAUUCGAAGCAACGCGAAGAACCUUACCAGGUCUUGACAUCGAGUGAUCGCUCUAGAGAUAGAGCUUCCCUUCGGGGCACAAAGACAGGUGG
rnacentral:rRNA from 1 species